UACAGAGGGUGCGAGCGUUAAUCGGAAUUACUGGGCGUAAAGCGUGCGUAGACGGUAGCGUAAGUCAGAUGUGAAAGCCCCGGGCUCAACCUGGGAAUGGCAUUUGAGACUGCUCUGCUCGGGUGCGGAAGAGGGAAGCGGAAUUUCCGGUGUAGCGGUGAAAUGCGUAGAUAUCGGAAGGAACACCAGUGGCGAAAGCGGCUUCCUGGUCCGACACCGACGUUCAGGCACGAAAGCGUGGGAGCAAACAGG
rnacentral:rRNA from 1 species